rnacentral:rRNA from 1 species
AAGCAUCUAAGCGGGAAGCUCGCUUCAAGAUGAGGUAUCCCACCCACAUUUGUGGGGUAAGGCCCCCAGCUAGACGACUGGGUUGAUAGGCCGGAAAUGUAAGCCCGGUAACGGGUUCAGUUGACCGGUACUAAUAGGCCGAGGACUUGACUAC